GAUGAACGCUGGCGGCGUGCUUAACACAUGCAAGUCGAACGAUGAAGCCCAGCUUGCUGGGUGGGUUCGUGGCGAACGGGUGAGUAACACGUGAGUAACCUGCCCUUAACUCUGGGAUAAGCCUGGGAAACUGGGUCUAAUACCGGAGAGGAGCGUCCACCGCAUGGGGGGGGUUGGGGAGAUUUAUCGGUUUUGGAUGGACUCGCGGCCUAUCAGCUUGUUGGUGAGGGAGUGGCUCACCAAGGCGACGACGGGUAGCCGGCCUGAGAGGGUGACCGGCCACACUGGGACUGAGACACGGCCCAGACUCCUACGGGAGGCAGCAGUGGGGAAUAUUGCACAAUGGGCGGAAGCCUGAUGCAGCGACGCCGCGUGAGGGAUGACGGCCUUCGGGUUGUAAACCUCUUUCAGUAGGGAAGAAGCGAAAGUGACGGUACCUGCAGAAGAAGCACCGGCUAACUACGUG
rnacentral:rRNA from 1 species